GGGAGUGUAGCUUGGUGGUGGGGCAUGUGCUUAGCCUGUUCAAGGUCCUGGGUUCAAUUCCCAGAACUCCUC
rnacentral:tRNA from 1 species